UUUCCGCUAUAACAGGCAAGGGCAGGACCAGUGUAGUGAAAGCAGUUGGAAGAAAUAGUGUUUGUCACGUGUUGUCGUCAGAAGAAAAUGUAGUUCUUUGUCCGGGUCAAACUGUGAUCUGCGUUGUCUAACGCGGACUUUGAAGUUGGACGUGGAGAAGAUGCACCUCCGGGCUUUGGAUGACGCAAUUCCUGCCCUCAUACUCGAUCGUCAGCUUGAGAGAAGUCGCCUUCAUAAUCAAUCAAAUACGUCCCCCCAAGCAUCUCUGCGUUGCUGACUCCUAGGAUGAACAUUCGUUCUGCUAGAGACUUGAACGCAUGGAAGAGUGAGUCUAAAGAUUACGCGCCCUGAUGAUGGAGGCGGCAAGGACCUCUGACACGUCGGUAAACAUCUACCAGACUACACGGCGCAAAGACCCAGAAGACAGAAAUCUUCUGACUCUCCGUCGUGGAAAUAAUUCGCGAAGACGUAGCCUGUGCAGUUCAGAUUCACUAGUCUGAAGACAGAGUCCAGUAGCGGUUUCUUCUGAGCACAAUAAUAAGCCCUCGAAUUCCAGAAGACCGGACCUUUUAGCGACUUCCAGCUGUACGGCGUUAGUAAGAGAGAGAUUAACGAAUCCACAGCAAUUAAACAUUUUGGUUGCAUGAUUGGCAACACUACAUAGAACUUACCAUGUUGUAACUUAAGGACAGACAUUUAUAUUUUGCGAGCAAAGUUUAGUUGUCCGUCUCAGCUGAGUUAAAAUGGCGUAAAGGUGACUAUUCCACUACAAGUCUGCAUCAAGGACAAGCAACAUACGCCGUGCGGGUAUUUUUUCUCCCUUGAACGAAUCAAAAGGGCAGAGGUCCAUCGGCAAUUGGCUGCCAAGUAUGAACAUAAUAUUUGUGUUCUAGUGGAAUGAAAUGUUCAAAAGCAGUGUAGACAGGUAAGGACGUCCAUCAACAUCCACAGACAAGCAAAGUGUGGAUCGUUUUCAAGCAAUGAUUCUCCGAAGCUGCAAGGAAAAAUAAUGGGCAAAGCUUUCGGCGCGUGACCGAUAACAACGCGGUUCGUAACGUUCGCAACUCCUCUCUGAAAAUAUUUGUCUCAGGUUCGAUUUCUGGACACCAGUUCGAUUCAUGCAGUCGAAUUCAUAGUGAAAUGCGGUUUUGAUUACUAGUAGAAUUAUUAUAAAUCUCCUAGAAUUGUGUCAUUACACGCACGCCAAGUUUCUGUUGAUACCAAUAAUUUACAAAAAUGGGCAUUAUGUUGCUCGUCCUUGGUGUAGGCCUCCAGUUGAACAGUCAAAUAUACGCCACACUCACUCGGCACAAAUGUAUUACAGCUUAACCACACUCGCAGAUUGUCACUGUAUGACCUUGAGAUACAGUAUGACUAGGUACCAGCAGUGUUGCCAUUCAUACAACGAAAAUAGUCCAACAUUCCAGAUAUUUUUUUUUAUUCUCCUUCGUAUUUAGCUGACAUAAUCUCACAUCUCAUCAAUGGCUUUGAAGGCAGCGUUUUACUGUUGAUAACGAGCCAGAAGAUUAUGACUGGUCACGUAUGUUCUGUAGUAGUCAAUGAGACAAAUAUGUACAGAGUUUUCUGGGAGAAAAAGACAGAUAUAAUGUUGUGUAACCUUCAUUACCCUAGUGAUAACUUUUACUUGUCUUGAAGCUUUCAGACUCUACAAAAAGUCAAAGUGAUUUACGUUCAUUUCAUAAUUAAUUUGUUAAUUACGUUCGUAAAGAAUAUGAUUUGUAGAUAACAGACAUUGGCAUGCAGCCAUAUUAACAGAAAUUCUAGCUCAUUAUUUAUUCAGUCACAUGGAAAGAGGCCCUCUGGGGCUUCAAACGUCAUAUGAAAGAGGUAUGUAGAACGGGCUUCAGGGGGCUCACGUCCUGUCUUGAGGCAAAUAAAAUUUGGCUAUACAUAGGACUGUUUUGAUUUGUGCGCAUAUCUCAGUCGGAACUCUAGAGAUAGAAUCCUAAAAUAAAAUUAAAAUAGAAACAUUUGUAGGAAGGUGAUUUAAAGGUUGCCCACAGUCUUUUAUUUCUUUGAAAGGUUCGCAAUUUAACUUCGCUAAUCUGACGUCUCUCAGAAUCAGAUAAUAAUUUCAAGGCCACUGUUUUUAUACUUUUACUGACAUCGCAGUUUAGCAAGUGGAAAAUCCUUCAAAGCAUCGAACUAUGUGGUAAGCAUUUUCUCGCCUCCCAAAGAAUUUGUUUCAGUGGACGAUGAAAGACUUUUGGAGGAGGCUGAAGAUUUACUGAAAGUGGUUCCUGAUGACCUUUUUCAACUUUAGCAGAAGAGUUGUUGCCUUUAUAGUCUCGCAUGAAAAGUGAUAUUCUGUAGGAAAUCUCGCUCCGAUAAUCAUGUAAUUUUGUGUGGAUUUCCUGAUAUUUUGAGAGCUUUAUAUCUCUUUGUCUCCUACCCCAACUGCAGCAUUGUAUUAAAUGUAAUUUUCAAAGUUUAAAUUCAUUAUAAACUCAUGACUGCCAUAUUACUUCAAUUGCUGUCGUCUCUGGCCUUAGCUUUUAUCGAAAGGGAAAGAACAAUGGAAAUCUCAGCUGAAAUAAACACUCUUAAGCUACUUACAUCUACGACAAACUGAUCUUUGCUGCUUAUGUCUUAUUUCUAUUGCAUGUGUAUUAUUUUUUUAUAACUAAUGUCCACGCGUCUUUGCCAGUUGAACAGCUUUGAAAUGUCAAGAAAUUGCUACAUUGCUCAAUAAAUUACACGUGAAAGGUUUUUACAGUUUUAUUAAUUAAUUAGCGACGGUUUCUCGUUUCUAGUGUUUUUUUAACGUUGGCGUUUUGGUUGAGUUGAUGUCAUGACAUGACCCUAUGGGUUGUAAUCCUGUAGAUGGUACUAACCUAUAAGCGUGCAUUAUAAUAUGAAAUGUAUUUAGUUGGCUCGGGAAAACAUUCAGCGGUGACGUCUUUGUUAUUAUUGUGAUUAUUAAGUAUUACCUUUGAACUUCAGCCCAUUAUCUGCACUAAAAGGAGAAAUAAAUGUGAUAAUACAGUUAAGUUCAAUAGCAGUUUGAUAUUCUGUUAUCCGUUCUGGUUUCCACAGCUCUCACUACUCUGAUUCUUUCUUCUUGUAAUGUGUGUAUCUUGCCAGAUAAUUUCUUCAAGUAUCAACGUAAUUGCGUUGUUAAACCCACAGACCUGUUCUAACAUUAGACGACGACGACCUUUCAAGUGAAGAAGUUAUGAGACGUUCAGAAUUAAGAAGGGAUUGUUCAUCGCUGUUUAAAGGUACUACUGUUCUAGCAUUUGCUAAAACAGACAGAGAAAAUUCAAGCAAAUCUUAGUCGUGAUAGCUGUUAAAUGUGCGUGCGGAGAUUCAAAUAUGGCACCUCCAGAACAGAAUUCUCGAGUGAAAUAGUUCUUUAUUCUGCUCGAUUAACGUGAAACUGGAGAUAAAUUCAAUAAGUUCUUCAGCCGCAACACAGAGUAGAAGAAAACGCUUUCCACUUCGCGUACCAAACUAAAGAAACUUUUAAGAACCCGAGAAGGAACGUGAAAUGGUUUCAGCCUCACUCUGAUAUUGCCCCGUCCACAAAAUCUCGGGCACGCUUACACUGUUGAUCGUUAGGCGCAAGAUGCCUGUCUUAAAGCAUCUCCCGUCUUAAUGCCCACUUGGCCUUCCUUGAUAUUACAAACGAGACCCUGGAUAUGGUCAUUUCGUAUAUUUUGAAUUAAGUGUCAGUUAUAAGAAACAGGUGACUUAAUUUUAAGUACAGGGGAACUUCUUUUUUUAUUUACUCGAUAUGCGAGUAAACGUUGUAGUUUAGUCGACUAAGAUGUUAUCAGUCAUUAGCCGUUC